GCCCCCAUCAUUGUCUAUGUCAAAGUGUCCUCUCCAAAGGUUCUUCAAAGACUCAUUAAGUCCAGAGGAAAAUCUCAAAGCAAACAUCUCAACGUGCAAAUGAUGGCAGGAGAUAAACUAGUACAGUGCCCACCAGAAAUGUUUGAUGUUAUACUGGAUGAGAAUCAGU